GAUGAACGCUGGCGGCGUGCCUAAUACAUGCAAGUCGAGCGAACGGACGAGAAGCUUGCUUCUCUGAUGUUAGCGGCGGACGGGUGAGUAACACGUGGAUAACCUACCUAUAAGACUGGGAUAACUUCGGGAAACCGGAGCUAAUACCGGAUAAUAUUUUGAACCGCAUGGUUCAAAAGUGAAAGACGGUCUUGCUGUCACUUAUAGAUGGAUCCGCGCUGCAUUAGCUAGUUGGUAAGGUAACGGCUUACCAAGGCAACGAUGCAUAGCCGACCUGAGAGGGUGAUCGGCCACACUGGAACUGAGACACGGUCCAGACUCCUACGGGAGGCAGCAGUAGGGAAUCUUCCGCAAUGGGCGAAAGCCUGACGGAGCAACGCCGCGUGAGUGAUGAAGGUCUUCGGAUCGUAAAACUCUGUUAUUAGGGAAGAACAUAUGUGUAAGUAACUGUGCACAUCUUGACGGUACCUAAUCAGAAAGCCACGGCUAACUACGUGCCAGCAGCCGCGGUAAUACGUAGGUGGCAAGCGUUAUCCGGAAUUAUUGGGCGUAAAGCGCGCGUAGGCGGUUUUUUAAGUCUGAUGUGAAAGCCCACGGCUCAACCGUGGAGGGUCAUUGGAAACUGGAAAACUUGAGUGCAGAAGAGGAAAGUGGAAUUCCAUGUGUAGCGGUGAAAUGCGCAGAGAUAUGGAGGAACACCAGUGGCGAAGGCGACUUUCUGGUCUGUAACUGACGCUGAUGUGCGAAAGCGUGGGGAUCAAACAGGAUUAGAUACCCUGGUAGUCCACGCCGUAAACGAUGAGUGCUAAGUGUUAGGGGGUUUCCGCCCCUUAGUGCUGCAGCUAACGCAUUAAGCACUCCGCCUGGGGAGUACGACCGCAAGGUUGAAACUCAAAGGAAUUGACGGGGACCCGCACAAGCGGUGGAGCAUGUGGUUUAAUUCGAAGCAACGCGAAGAACCUUACCAAAUCUUGACAUCCUUUGACAACUCUAGAGAUAGAACCUUCCCCUUCGGGGGACAAAGUGACAGGUGGUGCAUGGUUGUCGUCAGCUCGUGUCGUGAGAUGUUGGGUUAAGUCCCGCAACGAGCGCAACCCUUAAGCUUAGUUGCCAUCAUUAAGUUGGGCACUCUAAGUUGACUGCCGGUGACAAACCGGAGGAAGGUGGGGAUGACGUCAAAUCAUCAUGCCCCUUAUGAUUUGGGCUACACACGUGCUACAAUGGACAAUACAAAGGGCAGCGAAACCGCGAGGUCAAGCAAAUCCCAUAAAGUUGUUCUCAGUUCGGAUUGUAGUCUGCAACUCGACUACAUGAAGCUGGAAUCGCUAGUAAUCGUAGAUCAGCAUGCUACGGUGAAUACGUUCCCGGGUCU
rnacentral:rRNA from 1 species